UCUCUCAAGGGUUCCAAACACAAAGCCACCAUUCACUGUUGGCCAACUCAAGAAAGCCAUUCCACCGCACUGCUUUCAGCGUUCCCUCCUCACUUCAUUGUCCUAUGUUGUUUAUGACCUUUCAUUGGCUUUCAUUUUCUACAUUGCCACCACCUACUUCCACCUCCUCCCUCACCCCUUUUCCCUCAUUGCAUGGCCAAUCUAUUGGGUUCUCCAAGGUUGCAUUCUUACUGGCGUGUGGGUGAUUGCUCACGAGUGUGGUCACCAUGCCUUCAGCAAGUACCCAUGGGUUGAUGAUGUUAUGGGUUUGACCGUUCACUCAGCACUUUUAGUCCCUUAUUUCUCAUGGAAAAUAAGCCAUCGCCGCCACCACUCCAACACGGGUUCCCUUGACCGUGAUGAAGUGUUUGUCCCAAAACCAAAAUCCAAAGUUGCAUGGUACACCAAGUACCUGAACAACCCUCUAGGAAGGGCUGCUUCUCUUCUCAUCACACUCACAAUAGGGUGGCCUUUGUAUUUAGCCUUCAAUGUCUCUGGCAGACCCUAUGAUGGUUUUGCUAGCCACUACCACCCUUAUGCUCCCAUAUAUUCAAAUCGUGAGAGGCUUUUGAUCUAUGUCUCUGAUGUUGCUUUGUUUUCUGUGACUUACUUGCUCUACCGUGUUGCAAC
rnacentral:lncRNA from 1 species